GUUGUUUUACAUAGCUAGCUGCAGAUAAUGCAAAGCUUUCACCUUAGGAAACUACAUGUAUAUCUCUGAACUAAAAUACAUCCAAGUUCCUAUUCAUGCUACCACAUAACUUAUAUUGUUGCCUUGUGUUGUUGUGGUUUUGUUGUCACACUUGCAUAAGUAAAGUGGGCAGCAUGAAUGACCUUAAGCGAACCCCUUCCUGCAAACUGAACUAAAGCUUUAGGAUUCGGGAUUAGUUUUUAUCAAAUAUGCAUGUGCCCUAUAGCAUAUCUUCAGG
rnacentral:lncRNA from 1 species